GUGCCGCAAAAGGUUAUCAGCCAUCCUUGUUUCUUACGUCUUGAUAUACGCAAUGUUUGAAUACAACGGGACAGACACGACUCACGGCACUGGCCUCCAUUGCCAUCGAAAAGGACAUUCUGAUGGAUUUAAAAGCCAAAGGAGUGCUCUAUGACCGUUUCAUCCAGAAAGAAAGGAGAAUGGAUUUUGUCUUCAAAUAGACAACACUGGAAGAAAAAAUGACAUCCCCAUGAGCCCUGAUUAUGUACCCAGCCUGUUUGCACACACUUCAGCUGGACAGUGGCAGAAAAACAUCAAUGCCAACAGUAGGUUUGAGCAUACCCAGCAGAUGAAACGGAAAAGGACUGAGACUUUGGCCCCUAGCAGUGACACUGACCAUGAGACUGUGGCCCCUUCCAGCACCAGCAAUGACACCGACAACACCAUGGGAGUACAGGCAGACUGAGCACAAUUACUCUCAAGCCACUCAUAGCCCAGGCAUCGUGGAACCAUGCUCAAAUGCAACCUGUAAAGCUACAGUUAAAGCAUUAACAAAUGAGUGUGUUCGACUUAGAGCAGAGGUUCAUAGUCUAAAGGACAAUGUUGAUCUGCUUUCUUUUAAUGAAUAGGCAUUUAAAGGAAAUGAUGAAAUGGUACAAGAACUCACAGGCCUUCCAAGCUAUGCUAAAUUAAUGGUUGUCUUUACCUUUCUGCCAGGAUUUCUGAAAGCUAGUCAAAGACUGACUCCCUUUCAUAGCUUUCUGUUAACGCUGAUGAGAAUGAGGCUCAAUUUACCUCUAUAAUUUUUUUGUCUAUUUAUUUCAUAUGUCUAAGCACUGGCGGGUGGCCAGUACAAGGCGCUGGGGCGCUGUCCCCUUCAAACAUCAAGAGAUGAAAAUCUAGUUAAACGUGUUAAGUAUAAUUUAGUUGC